rnacentral:rRNA from 1 species
UACGUAGGGUCCGAGCGUUGUCCGGAGUUACUGGGCGUAAAGGGCGCGCAGGCGGCGGUGCUGGCCCGGCGUGAAAGCCCCCGGCUCAACUGGGGAGGGUCAUUCGAUACUGAUCGACUCGAAGGCAGGAGAGGGAAGCGGAAUUCCCGGUGUAGUGGUGAAAUGCGUAGAUAUCGGGAGGAACACCAGUGGCGAAGGCGGCUUCCUGGCCUGUUCUUGACGCUGAGGCGCGAAAGCUAGGGGAGCAAACGGG